AGCGCAGGCGGGAAGACAAGUUGGAAGUGAAAACCAUGGGCUCAACCCAUGAAUUGCUUUCAAAACUGUUUUUCUUGAGUAGUGCAGAGGUAGAUGGAAUUCCCGGUGUAACGGUGGAAUGCGUAGAUAUCGGGAGGAACACCAGUGGCGAAGGCGGUCUACUGGGCACCAACUGACGCUGAGGCUCGAAAGCAUGGGUAGCAAACA
rnacentral:rRNA from 1 species